rnacentral:rRNA from 1 species
GACAAACGCUGGCGGCGUGCCUAACACAUGCAAGUCGAGCGCGAAAGGGACCUUCGGGUCCCCUGAAAGCGGCGAACGGGUGAGUAACAAGUGGGCAACCUGCCUCAAGGACUGGGAUAACACCGGGAAACCGGUGCUAAUACCGGGCGAUGUCGUCUGGCGCAAGCCGGCCGACCAAAUGGUAGCUUCGGCCUCCGCCUUGAGAUGGGCCCGCUUCCUAUCAGCUUGUUGGUGAGGUAACGGCUCACCAAGGCUACGACGGGUAGCUGGUCUGAGAGGAUGAUCAGCCACACUGGGACUGAGAUACGGCCCAGACUCCUACGGGAGGCAGCAGUGGGGAAUUUUGCGCAAUGGGCGAAAGCCUGACGCAGCAACGCCGCGUGAGCGAAGAAGGCCUUCGGGUUGUAAAGCUCUGUCAGGGGGGAAAAAGGCACCUGGGUUAAUAGCCCAAGGGCUGAUGGUACCCCCAAAGGAAGCCACGGCUAACUACGUGCCAGCAGCCGCGGUAAUACGUAGGUGGCGAGCGUUGUCCGGAAUCAUUGGGCGUAAAGAGCGCGUAGGUGGCUUGUCAGGUCUGAUGUGAAAUCCUGGGGCUCAACUCCAGAACUGCAUCGGAAACCGGCUUGCUAGAGUCUGGGAGAGGAGAGUGGAAUUCCUGGUGUAGCGGUGAAAUGCGUAGAUAUCAGGAGGAACACCGGUAGCGAAGGCGGCUCUCUGGAACAGUACUGACACUGAGGCGCGAAAGCUAGGGGAGCGAACAGGAUUAGAUACCCUGGUAGUCCUAGCCGUAAACGAUGGACACUAGGUGUCGGGGGUGUCGACUCCCCCGGUGCCGAAGCUAACGCAUUAA